rnacentral:rRNA from 1 species
GACGAACGCUGGCGGCGUGCUUAACACAUGCAAGUCGAACGGAAAGGCCCUGCUUUUGUGGGGUGCUCGAGUGGCGAACGGGUGAGUAACACGUGAGUAACCUGCCCUUGACUUUGGGAUAACUUCAGGAAACUGGGGCUAAUACCGGAUAGGAGCUCCUGCUGCAUGGUGGGGGUUGGAAAGUUUCGGCGGUUGGGGAUGGACUCGCGGCUUAUCAGCUUGUUGGUGGGGUAGUGGCUUACCAAGGCUUUGACGGGUAGCCGGCCUGAGAGGGUGACCGGCCACAUUGGGACUGAGAUACGGCCCAGACUCCUACGGGAGGCAGCAGUGGGGAAUAUUGCACAAUGGGCGGAAGCCUGAUGCAGCAACGCCGCGUGCGGGAUGACGGCCUUCGGGUUGUAAACCGCUUUCGCCUGUGACGAAGCGUGAGUGACGGUAAUGGGUAAAGAAGCACCGGCUAACUACGUGCCAGCCGCCGCGGUAA